rnacentral:rRNA from 1 species
GACGAACGCUGGCGGCGUGCUUAACGCAUGCAAGUCGAACGGGCCUGUCUUCUUUUUUGGGGGUGGGUUGAGUGGCGAACGGGUGAGUAUCACGUGAGUAACCUGCCCUUCGGUCCUGGAUAACCGCUUGAAAGGGCGGCUAAUACGGGGUGGUCCGGUUGGUCCGCAUGGGCUGGUCGGGAUAGAUUCACUGUUUUUGGGGUUUCGGCGGGGGAUGGGCUCGCGGCCGAUCAGCUUGUUGGUGGGGUGAUGGCCUACCAAGGCGGUGACGGGUAGCCGGCCUGAGGGGAGGCGCGGCCACACGGGGACCGGGAUACGGCCGAGAGUCCUGCGGGAGGCAGCAGUGGGGGGGAUUGCACAAUGGGCGGAAGCCUGAUGCAGCGACGUCGCGUGAGGGAUGGAGGCCUUCGGGUUGUGAACCUCUGUUUCCGGUGGUGAAGGCCCUGUCCGUGUGGUGGGGUUGACGGUAGCCGGGGAUGAAGCGCCGGCUAACUACGUG